CAUAGGGACGAGCAUUCUGCUCUCGGUUGCAUCUCUUGUUCCGCUGCUUCAAGGAGUCACGGCCGAGUCAAAGUCUGACGGGUUGAUGACUUCUGAUGCUGAGUUGUGGAACGGAAGGUUUGCAAUGUUGGGACUAGUUGCGUUGGCCUUCACUGAAUAUGUUAAGGGAGGAAUACUUGUGUAGGGUUUUGGAAUUAUACACUCGUGUAAGUAGUUCAGAAUGUAAUCCUCAGAAGCAUAAUAUAAAGUGAAGCAUUGUCUCAAUACAUAUACUGUGCCCCAUACCGUCUUGGUUUAAAUCUUAAAUUAGAGUUUGUUAUACUAUAAAUCAUUCUCUCAAAAGACAUUUCAUUGGAUCAUUCAACAUGGAGUAUACUUUGAAGAAAACUCCCUCCUUCAGAAAAAACCUCGAUUUGCUUGAAGUGGAAGUAAAGAAGCAUCGCUUAAUAUAUGAGAUGGUAAUUGCAGAUUAAUAAGACACGAGUACCUUUACCAAUGAGAUUAGGAUGAAACUCAGAUGCCAGUGGGUGAACAAACAACAUACCUAAAUCAGAAAGAUCUCAGGCAAAUCAGAUGUAAAUAAACUAAAGCAACAAUAACAAAGAAGGAUUGAGUGAAUUCGGAUCGUCCUUAGAUGAGGAAGUUCCGAAUUCUCAAAGCAACAGAUUUUGCAAACAAAACUAAACCAAAGUUCGGUCUGCACCCUUCCAAGUAAAAUGGUGGAAAUUGACCAACUCAGCAACAAGAAAUCUGGAGAAUGUUAGGUGCAAUCACUUAUUGGAAUAUUUAUCACAGCUUCUUUCUGCCUUUCCUUUUUUUGACUGUCCAGGGGUCGAUGGUAUGAUUUCAUGGACCCAGAUUUAUUUCACUUCCAUCAGAUAUGUAGCAAUCGAUCGAUUAAUUAACCCACAGCAAAAUAUAUCCUCAGAUAAACCACUCAAAUCAUGAUGGAACUAUUACAACCAAUGGAUUUCCAUCCAAUAGCACAUCUAAAAACUGCAUUGUCCGACAAAACAACAUCAGAUAAGGAUCUGAGCUAAGAGGACAACGUUUGCUUUUAAGAACUGCAAUCUGGGGCAGGCAGAUGGCUUAUGACCAAUGGCCAACAUAAAGCCCGGUGGUUUGCCUCCUUCUCUUUGCAGGCUUUGAACAUCUCCUCUUUCAAUUACAACUAGCCUCUUUACCUAAUCAUGUAAUCGGUUAUUGAAGUAAGAAAAUGACAUCGAUAAACAAAACCAAAAUGCAGUACUGAUUAAUCAUUACUUGUCGCAACAUUCCCUGAACGGUAGGGGUGUUCCAUCUCAUAAGAGUUCAGUUACACUUGCGAAGCCGCGACCCCUCCUAUGUACACUGAUGAGGUCUUCUGGUUCCAGGAAUGCUCCUAACCAGUGUUAUGUACAAGUUGGGGCUCCAUGGGAUUGGCAGGCAAGCCUUGUGAGUUUUGAAGGCAUUCAUGCUUCCCCCUUUCUCAGCGACACUGGAAGGGGGGGACAUCAGAACUAGCUUUUUCCAUGACAAAGCACAGACAGCGAUGGAUGAACAACUAGAAUGAGCACACGCAAUGCAAAAAAUUGGUUUAACUAAAUCAAUUGCAAUUGGUAAGAUAGGUGGGAGAACUCAAGAAGCCGGCGGAGGGAGGGACGAUGAAGUACAUUGGUUUGUCAGAAGCUAGCAUUGAUACGGUAAAGAGAGUUAAUACUAUUCAUCCAAACACAGGUGUGCAGAUGGAGUAUUCUCUAUGGACUAGCAAAAUUGAGGAUGAAUUAAUUUUUACUUUGCAGCUCCACUCCUAUUAUCCUCAAGAUGUGUGGCAGUUUUUACAGGACUUUCAAUUUCGGAGAACUCGGCAUUGGUAUAGUAGCAUCCAGUCCUCUAGGUCAUGGGUUCUUUUAUAGGAAGGCAGUCGUUGAGAGCUUGCCGGUGGAGAGCCAGUCGGUAUGUUUUUUGCAAUUUAUUGUGAUAAUAUUGAUCAGUAGUCUAUUGGAAAGAGAAUUCAAAUUAUGUGACAAUCCAAACUAGGUUUUUUUUUUUUUUUGAAUAUUCAGGAUUUAUUAGUAUAAAAAACAACAAGCAGGGCGAGCAAUCCUGCUACAUGCUGAACAAACAGCAACCAAGAGACCCAAACUAGAAGUGCCCAGUUACAGCACAACAUCUAAUGCCUAUCUUAAAACAGUUUUCGCUUCACAUUCCAAAAACUUCUUUCUCUAACCAACCUCUUAAUUUGCAAGAGGAUUGAAUCAGAGCACACAGGGACAGUGGGAUUAUACAGAUGACAGUUUAUUUCCUUAGAAACAAAAUUUUUGGAUUUCCUGGUGAUGUAUCAGUGGCAAAUAUGUUUCUAUGUUAAUUCUCUAUUGUUGUGUGAAAGGCUAUGCAUCCCAGAUUCACUAGAGAUAACUUCCACAAGAACAAAGUUAUAUAUUGAAAAUUUGCUCACCUCAACGCAAAGCAUGGUUGCAACGCUCCUCAACUGGCCAUAGCGUGGCUUCGUCACCAGGCGUUGUUCAAAUACCAAGUAACAAUUUCAACAAACGCUGAGUCACAUAAUAGUAGAUUUAGUGUUACCAUGCCACUAUCAGGCUGUCGAUGUUGUGAUGUCUAUAACGAGCUUGAACUUUCAGCUGCAAUGAGGGACCAGAAAAGUCAAGAACCUUGAAGACAAUAUUAGAUCAGUGGCACGUAAGCCUAGCCAAGACGAGUAUAUUUCCUUAGUUUGUAGGCAAGUUUGGUUCAAUAGCGUAAGCUCCUGCAAUGCCUAUCAUGAUGCUCUAUGAAGACCUCUCCAAUGAAAUGUUGUCAGCAUCAAAAUUUGUCCAAAAAAUGUGAAUUGUAGGGACAGAGAUGCAAGUGUAGUUAAUGCUCUUCAAAAUUGGAGCACUUAUUUUUCCAUUGUGAGCAAUAAAAGCUCAAUACCUUUAUCAUAAGGAGAGAGAUAAAGAAUAUAUAGAUAAAGUCAUUAAUAUAUCUGCGGGACCUAACAGAAAUUCAGGUGCUUCAAUCACGGCAUAUCAGUGCUGAUGUACGAGACUUCAUUUUGAUGCAAAAUAGAAGUCUUAUGCCUUCAUCAUUGGAAGGCGACUACGAGCAAACCCAAGUUAGAGCUGAUUAACGUAUCUAGCCAAUUCUGCUUUCAAUUAGAAUCUUAAGUUAUCGAGUUAUGAACUCACUAGCCGAUAGAGAUUGCCCAACAGUAGAUGAAUUCAACACAUAUUUCGACCACUGGUCUGGCGGGUCAUAAGUGGAUCGAAUGUCAACUUCGUCAUAGCCAACUACCAAGAUGCAUCAAAUGCUCAUGAACCGGAAUUCUUGUGGAAGCUCAAUUUCCCGAGAGAACUCUAGAUCCUUCCUUGUGAAUGCGCCUUUGAAACGCAGAGAGAGACUUGAAGAGAGUACUGUGCCGUGCUUGAGCUGCGAAGUCGGGGCAUGCUGUCUUCAUCAAGGUCAUGCCAAUGGACAGCGGUCCUUGAAUGUUCUCGUCUGGUCCAAUUGGUUCUUUGCCAAACUCGAAAACCUCCAACUACGUCGCUCUUCUCUUGGCCUCACGUUCGGAAGCCAACAAGAACUGAAGUCCCGCAAACCAUUUUGUCCGUUGUUUUGUUCAGGGCUAUUUGAAGGCCCACGUCGUCACUUUCCCAUUAAACGGACGAGGUGAAACCAUUUAACCCCCUACAGACGUGCAUCGCGUGGAACCAACACCAUCCGUCAGUCUCUCCCUCUCUCUCUCUCUCUCUCUCUCUCUCUCUCUCUUCCCCGGCACUAUAUAAAUAGUACUUCAUAUCACUCACUUUAUAGUCCAAGACAGUAGCACUACAGUCUACUCAGAGUCGAUUCAAUUGCGCACGUUGAGCUGAGUAUUGUUCUCCUAGUUGUCCCAAAACUUUUGGUCAUCGUUUGAAGAUCAUGGCCUCGACAAUCCUGAUGCACUCGGUCCCUGUGAGUCCUAGGACUGUGGUCGACAUUAGUUCCAGGAAAUCUGUUGUGAGAGGGCUCUUCCCUGCCAGCAAUAGUCCUAGACUGUCUCCUCGAGGUGGCUUGCAUGUGAGGUGUAUGGCUAAGGUAAAGUAGCAGAUUUUCGAAAAAUCUUGCCUAAAACAUCAACGAUGUGAUGUUGGGAAGUUUAUUGAAUUAACAUUGUUACGUGAUGAAUGUUUCAGGAGAGCAAGCCGGAUCUGAACCCAUCCAAAUCAAAGGUAUAUUUAUGCUUGUGGGCCUUCUAGCACAUGAAUAAGAGUUUUGGAAAGGCCUUACUUAUGCACGGAGCCUUUAUUUACUUAAAGAGAUUAAACAUUAGUAUUGAAGUUUCCAAAGGAUAAGUCUUGUCAAAGAAAUUGAACUGGUGAUACUCUGCUGAUUGAAUUUUGAUGAAGUAAGAUAGUCACUCAUUCUAAUAACUACUCCUUGCAUAUGCUAACGUUGAUCAUGUUGACAGGUUAGCACCGACUUCACAGAUGUGUUUGCAUUCAGUGGACCGGCACCAGAGAGGAUCAAUGGCAGACUCGCAAUGAUAGGCUUUGUGGCGGCCAUUGCGGUCGAACUGUCUAAAGGCCAGGACUUGUCUGCUCAGAUCAGUGGAGGUGGUAUCCCGUGGUUCAUAGGAACGAGCAUUCUGCUCUCAGUUGCAUCUCUUGUUCCGCUGCUUCAAGGAGUCACGGCCGAGUCAAAGUCUGACGGGUUGAUGACUUCUGAUGCUGAGUUGUGGAACGGAAGGUUUGCAAUGUUGGGACUAAUUGCGUUAGCCUUCACUGAAUAUGUUAAGGGAGGAAUACUUGUGUAGGGUUUUGGAAUUAUACACUCGUGUAAGUAGUUCAGAAUGUAAUCCUCAGAAGCAUAAUAUAAAGUGAAGCAUUGUCUCAAUACAAAUACUGUGCCCCAUGCCAUCUUGGUUUAAAUCUUAAAUUAGAGUUUGCUAUACUAUAAAUCAUUCUCUCAAAGGACAUUUCAUUGGAUCAUUCAACGUGGAGUAUACUUUGAAGAAAACUCCCUCCUUCAGAAAAAACCUCGAUUCGCUUGAAGUGGAAGUAGAGAAGCGUCGCUUGAUAUAUGAGAUGGUAAUUGCAGAUUAAUAAGACACAAGUACCUUUACCAAUGAGAUUUGGAUGAAACUCAGACGACAAUGGGUGAACAAAGAACAUACCUAAAUCAGAAAGAUCCCAGGCAUUUCAGAUGUAAAUAAACUAAAGCAACAAUAACAAAGAAGGAUUGAGUGAAUUCGGAUCGUCCUUUGAUGAGGAAGUUCCGAAUUCUCAAAGCAACAGAUUUUGCAAACAAAACUAAACCAAAGUUCGGUCUGCACCCUUCCAAGUAAAAUGGUGGAAAUCGACCAACUCAGCAACAAGACAUCUGGAGAAUGUUGAGUGCAAUCACUUAUUGGAAUACUAAUCACAGCUUCUUUCUGCCUUUCCUUUUUGACCGUCCAGAGGUCGAUGGUAUGAUUUCAUGGACCCAGAUUUAUUUCACUUCCAUCAGAUACGUAGCAAUCGAUCGAUUAAUUAACCCACAGCAAAAUAUAUCCUUCAGAUAAACCACUCAAAUCAUGAUGGAACUAUUACAACCAAUAGAUUUCUAUCCCAUAGCACAUCUAAAAACUGCAUUGUCCGACAAAACAACAUCGGAGAAGGAUCUGACCUAAGAGGACAACGUUUGCUUUUAAGAACUGCAAUCUGGGGCAGGCAAUGGCGGACAUAAAGCUUGGUGGUUUGCCUCCUUUUUACAGGCUUUGAACAUCUCCUCUUUCAAUUACAACUAGCCUCUUUACCUAAUCAUGUAAUCGAUUAUUUAAGUAAACAAAUGAUGUGGAUAAACAAAACCAAAAUGCAGUAACUGAUUCAUUACUUGUCGCAACAUUCCCCUAACGGUAGGGGUGUUCCAUCUCAUAAGAGUUCAGUUACCCUUGCGAAGCCGCGACCCCUCCUAUGCACACUGAAAAUGUAAUAGAUGGGCUUUAAAAAUAAAAAAAAUAAAAUAAAAGGAAAAGAAAGAGUUUGAAAAGUAAAAAAAAAAAGGAAGCUCAAGGAUAUUUGUGGAAUCUUCGGCUAUGCUUUAAAAAGAGGGAGAGAGAGAGAGAGAAAGAAGAGCACGGGCAGAAAGAAACGGGAGAGGAGAGAAAGGAGAGAAAGGAAAAGAAAAAAAAAAUUGGCGCACUUGUGAUCCGGACGCCUCAUCAAACCGACUCAAGUGUGUUUAGCAACGCUAGUAAGAAAUUGAAGUCUUUAAUCACCUACUUAAAGCAAUCGCUGCAAUUAGGGCUCGAAAUUCGGAUUUCUUGGAUAUUUGUGUGGCGAAGCCCCAUUUUUGAGUCGUCGAGAUGGUACUUUGGAUGUUGUGAAGCUAUAGCAUCUUUCGGAUCGUAAUUUGAGCUUGUGGUUUGUCCGAAACGGAAUUUUGAAGUUGAUGGCGCAUUCUGGUAUUGUAGGGAACAGUAGCUUUGAGCCUUUUUUUUUGUUAUUUUUGGUACUGUUUUGGGUCCUCUGAGUUGGGGUUGUUGUUGUACAUUAAGAGAGCUUUCGAAAGACUAUAAGACGAUUUGAAAUGGAAUUUUGUGGAGGGAGUUAUGGCGUGAUGAAGUUGGUGCAUGGGCUGCACCUAGCGGGAAAUGAUGGGUUUUCGAUAAAUGAGAGCUUUUGUGGCGCAUAGGUGUCGUUUUAUCGACAAAUAGGCCUAGUAUAGACAAGUCGUUAUGCGAAUAUCCUUUUUACUCGGCCUUUUGAUAUUGUUUUUCCAUUAAUUGUUAGGAAUCCGAAUGUGUUGGUUCGAGUGAGCAUCGUAGUUGAUUUUUGGUUUUUCCCAAGUGAGUGACACUAUUUCUUCUUUGUAUUUUAAACUCAUGUUUUGAGAAACGUGAUGGAUUAUAUAUUCCAUGAGUUGAUAAAAAACAUAUUUUGUUGCAUAAAAUAAGAUCGAGCUAUUACUACUAUUUUUGUUGUUCGAAGGGAGUUAUAUUCCGACUUCGAUUUGAAUGGUUGUUUGAAAGAUGAUUUUUGAAAUUCUUUGUGAGAGAAUCUUGAAAUGUUUUGGUGAAUGCUUUGAUAUUUAUAUAUCAAAUUUUGAGUUGUGAUGUAACUUCAUUUCUAACAUUGGAUUACUGGAUAUUGUAAUUGGUGGUUGGUGCUCAAUGUCUAUGUGGACCCUGAGGGGUGUGGGUAUGCGCAUACUAUUCUAGGAUAUCCUUGUGGGCCGAGCCACCGGCUAAUAAUAGGUGGAGACCUUGCCAAUAGGGGAAUGUUGGUCGUCUUGUCACGGGCGUUACGCGUGACCAUGGUUAGACAUUUGAGCAUGAAUUGGUCAAUGGGGUGGACCAUUGACGUGUGAUUUGAGUUUGGUCGAUGGAAUGGACCAUCGAUGUGAUUUGAUGAGAUUAAUUAAUGGAAUAGACCAUUGAUGCAUGUUUUAUGAGAUUGACUAAUGGAUUGGACUAUUGGUAUCUUCAGUAUUUGAGUUAUGAUUAUAUAUUUGAGCUAUGUUUUAAAUGUGCAUAGUGAUUUCUCGAUCCGCUUAGAAGAAAUGUGUUACUCCGUGGUAGCUCACUCCUCUCUUAUACUUGUUUUUCAAGUUUUUCAGCAAGUUGCGAGUAAGCGUGAACGUUCGCUCGGGGAGGACUUUUGUGGUGGAAACUUUUUUGUAUGACUUGUGCAUAGUUAAUAUAAGUUAGUCUUUGUAGAAGAUUUUUGUUUUGAUUUUUUUGUAGAUUAUAGAUAUACUAUGAUAUUAUAACCAAGUGCCCCUUUUUUGUCAAAUAUAUAUAUGUGUGUGUGUGUGUGUGUGUGUGUGUGUGUGUGUGUGGAUGUAUAUAUGUUGAUAUCGGGUUAAAUUUUGGUUACAUUGAGGCUGUCUUUGGUAAAAGGAUGGCCGUGUCAUGCCCCUUCUUCUUGUGAAUCGGGGUGUGACAUAAGAGGUCUUCGGGAAUGCUCCUAACCAGUGUUAUGUACAAGUUGGGACUCCAUGGGAUCGGCAGGCAAGCCUUGUAAGUUUUGAAGGCAUUCAUGCUUCCCCCUUUCUCAGCGACACUAGAAGCGAGGACAUCAGAACUAGCUUUUUCCAUGACAAACUGCAGACAGCGAUGGAUGGACAACUACAAUAAGCACACGCAAUGUGAAAAAUUGGUUUAACUAAAUCAGUUGCAAUUGGUAAGAUAGGUGGGAGAACUCAAGAAGCCGGUGGAGGGAGGGAAUAUGAAGUACAUUGGUUUGUCAGAAGCUAGCAUUGAUACGGUAAAGAGAGUUAAUGCUAUUCAUCCAAACCCAGCUGUGCAGAUGGAGUAUUCUCUGUGGACUUGCGGAAUUGAGGAUGAAUUAAUUCCACUUUGCAGCUCCACUCCUAUUAUCUUCAAGAUGUGUGGCAAUUUUUACAGGACUUUCAAUUUCGGAGAACUGUGAAGAGAGUGCCGUGUUGCGCUUGAGCUGUGAAGUCGGGGCAUGUCGUCUUCAUCGAAUCGCACCAAAGGACGUCGGUACUUGAAAGUUCUCUGUCCGGUCCAAUUUGUUCUUUACCAAACUCGAAAACCUCGAACUACGUCGCUCUUCUCUUGGCCUUACGUUCGGAAGCCAACAAGAACUGAAGUUCACAAACCAUUUUGUCCGUUGUUUUGUUCAGGGCUAUUUGAAGGCCCACGUCGUCACUUUCCCAUUAAACGGACGAGGUGAAACCAUUUAACCCCCUACGGACGUGCAUCGCGUGGAACCAACACCAUCCUUCAGUCUCUCCCUCCCUCUCUCUCUCUCUCCUCCCCGGCACUAUAUAAAUAGUACUUCGUAUCACUCACUCUAUAGUCCAAGACAGUAGCACUGCAGUCUACUCAGAAUCGAUUCUGUUCGCACGUUGAGCUGAGAAUUGUUCUCCUAGUUGUCCCAAAACUUUUGGUCAUCGUUUGAAGAUCAUGGCCUCGACAAUCCUGAUGCACUCGGUCCCUGUGAGUCCUAGGACCGUGGUCGACAUUAGUUCCAGGAAAUCUGUUGUGAGAGGGCUCUUCCCUGCCAGCAAUAGUCCUAGAUUGUCUCCUCGAGGUGGCUUGCAUGUGAGGUGUAUGGCUAAGGUAAAGUAGCAGAUUUUCGAAAAAUCUUGCCUAAAACAUCAACGAUGUGAUGUUGGGAAGUUUAUUGAAUUAACAUUGUUACGUGAUGAAUGUUGCAGGAGAGCAAGCCGGAUCUGAACCCAUCCCCGAACUUGAAAUCAAAGGUAUAUUAAUGCUUGAGAGCCUCCUAGCACAUGAAUAAGAGUUUUGGAAAGGCCUCACUUAUGCACGGAGCCUUUAUUUACUUAAAAGAGAUUAAACAUUAGUAUGGAAGUUUCCGAAGGAUAAAUGUUGUCAACGAAAUUGCACUGGCGAUGCUCAUGCUGACUUGAGUUUUGAUCAAGUGAGAAAGUCACUCCUAGUAACCACUCCUUGCAUAUACUAACGUUUAUCAUGUCGACAGGUGAGCACCGGCUUUACCGAUGUGUUCGCAUUCAGUGGGCCGGCACCAGAGAGGAUCAAUGGCAGACUCGCAAUGAUUGGCUUCGUGGCAGCCAUUGCGGUUGAAUUGUCUAAAGGCCAGGACUUGUUCGCUCAGAUCAGUGAAGGUGGCAUCCCGUGGUUCAUAGGGACGAGCAUUCUGCUCUCGGUCGCUUCUCUUGUUCCGCUGCUUCAAGGAGUCACGGUUGAGUCGAAGUCUGAUGGGGUGAUGACUUCCAAUGCCGAGUUGUGGAAUGGAAGGUUGGCGAUGUUGGGACUAGUCGCGUUGGCCUUCACCGAAUUUGUUAAGGGAGGAGCACUUGUGUAGGGUUUUGGAAUUAGAGUUAUGUACUCAAUGAAAGUAGUUCAGAAUGUAAUCCUCAGAAGCAUAAUAUAAAGUGAAGCAUUGUCUUGAUACAAAUACUGUGCCCAAAACCGUCUUGGUUAGAUCUCACAUUAGAGUUUGUCGUACUAUAAAUCAUUCUCUCAAAGGAUGUUUCAAUGGAUUAUUCAACAUGCAGUAUACUUCGAAAAAAACUUCCUCCUUGAGAAGAAACAUCUAUUGGUAUUAAGUGGAAGUAAAGAAGCUUUGCUUAAUGUAUGGAAUGGUAAUUGCAGACUAAUAAGCCACAAGCACCUUUGCCAAGGAGAUCACGAUGAGACUCAGAUGACAAUGGAUGAAUGAAGACCACACAGAUCGGAAGGAUCUCAGCCUUUUCAAAAGUAAAUAAACUUAAGCAAUAUUAAUAAAGAUGGAUUGAAUGAAUUUGACUCCUCCUUAGAAGAAGAGCUCCAAAUUCUCAAAGCAACAGAUUUUGCAAACAAAACUGAAUGAAACUUCAGUUUGUAACCCUUUCAAGUAAAAUGGUGGAAAUUCUCCAACUCAGCAACAAAAUAUCUGGAGAAUGUUAAGUGCAAUUGCCCAUUAAAAUAUAUCAGCCUGCCUUUUCUUUUUUUGACUGUCCACAGGCCGAUAGUAUAAUUUCAUGGACCCAGAUUGUGAACUCUGCCCUUUAUUUCACUUCCACCAGAUACGUAGCAAUCAAUUGAUUAAUUAACUCACAGCAAAAUAUAUCUUCCAGUAAACCACCCAAUCAUGACGGAACUAGUACAGCCAACGGAUUUCUAUCCAAUAACACGUCUAGAAACUGUAUUGUCCAACAAAACAACAUUGGAGAAGGAUCUGACCUAAGGGGACAACAUUUGCUUUUAAGAACUGCAAUCUGGGGCAGGCAGAUGGCUUAUGACCAAUGGCGGACGUAAAGCUCGGUGGUUUGCAUUCUUCUGUUUACGGGCUUUGAACAUCUCUUCUGUUUCAAUCACAACUAGCCUCUUUACCUAAUCAUGUAAUAGAUUCUUCAAGUAAGCAAAUAACAUUGAUAAACAAAACUAAAAUGCAGUAACUGACUAAUCAUUACUUGUUGCAACAUUCCCCUAACGGUAGGGGUGUUCCAUCUCAUAACAGUUCGGUUACACUUGCCAAGCCGCAGCGCCUCCAAUGUACGCCGGUGAAGUCUUCUGGUUCCAGGAAUGCCCCUAACCAAGGUUAUGUACAAGUUGGGGCUCCAUGCAAUCGGCGUGCAAGCCUUGUAAGCUUUGAAGGCAUUCAUGCUUUUCCCUUUCUCAGCAACACUGAAGGGGACAUCAAAAUUAGCUUUUUCCAUGACAAAACCCAGACAGCUAUGUUUGGACAACUAGAAUGAACACACAGCACACCCGCACAUACAAAAUAAACAAAGAUGCUGCCAAAGAAAAAGCAAAAUACUAUUACACGACUGGGCAAAUAACUAAUAUCUCACCAAUCACUUCUUGAUUUUUCACAAUGAUCAAUUAUAGAACAGAACUAAUAUACACGAAUAAAAAAAAAAACUAGCAAAGUUUCAGAAGGAACCAGAUCCAUUUAUUUGCAAGNNNNNNNNNNNNNNNNNNNNNNNNNNNNNNNNNNNNNNNNNNNNNNNNNNNNNNNNNNNNNNNNNNNNNNNNNNNNNNNNNNNNNNNNNNNNNNNNNNNNNNNNNNNNNNNCUUGAGAUGCUGCAUGAUCAUCUCGGUGAUUGAAUAUUCAAUGUCUCAUUCUAGCUUGGCAAAGAUUAAAGCAGGCAUAUGGAGCUAGAAGCCCAAAUGCUUUCUGCGUCUCUUCCUAUUUGAGAUGUGGGAUAGGACAUACUCUCAAACAUUGUAUUAUGUUUUCUCAUUGUCCUUUUGUUGAUCCCAUCUCUCCUCAAGCAAAUAGUGCGCAUUUCCAGACACAAAACGACUAGAGUUAGUAAAAGUUCAAGCCCCCAUCUGAAAACCAUUCCACUUUUUUGUAAACUAGAGUCUUCCCUUCAAUGAACUUUAAGGGGAAAAUUUGAAAGGAAAUAGAGACAAGGUUGAUUAGAAAAAUGUAGCAAGAGUAGCAAGCCCACGGUACUGGUUCCGGCCAUGGGAAAACUACCCAAAAUCAUCCUCGUUGUUCGAAACGGAACCUUCGAACUGCGCCAUCGCAAACCUAAGAAUCCGAGGCUCUAAAUCCCUCCUUUCUCCCCCCUCAAGUGGGCAAAAACACAACACCGAGGCUCUCAUAGGAAUAUGGUCGAACACCUUGCGGGCACGGGGAGCUCAACACAAAACAUUCACCGUCGACCCUCGUCCCCCCAACUGGAACUGCACAAGAACUGCAUCCUAAAAGAACGAAACGGAAUCGCCAACGCGUGCCGACACUAACCCAAGAACCCAAAUCAAGGGACGAGCCAGCGCUGAGCCAGCGCUGACAAAUUGGGAACAGAAACGCCCGUAAAAUCUUGGCAUUUCCAUGACCAGAGGAACUGGUAUCAAACCCAAGAAACGGCGGCGGAUCAAGAAGCAAACCCCGAAUGCAAGACUCGAGACGAGCGUCAAAGCCAUACAUACCUGCACGGUCCGGACAAGGCAGUAGAGAAGAGCAGCGACGACGGAGCGUUGGAACUGAGAAGGCGACUGAGGCGGACAGAGAGAUUUAAGAAUUUGGGAGGGGAAGCUCCUGGUUUUUGUGGUUGGGCCUUGAGAAAGUGAUUUGGAGAUGGGCCUACUUACUAGGGUGAAGAGAAGAGGUGGGCCGACCCGAUGCAAGAUCGAAAACGGUUCGACCGAGUUGGUGAAACCAAUCGGUGAACGCGGAAGGUCUCGAAUUCAAAUCUUGCUUGACGAGGGUUCUUGGGAUUUAAGUCGGCCAGGAAGAAAUGUUGGGCAUCUAGCCUAAUAUGUGGCAGGGAUAUAUAGUAUUCUUUUUUAUCGGCCCGACAUGUUGACUUGUGUCGAAACUGGCUCUAAAUACCAUCGAAAAUGGUUUGAUCAAGUUGGUAAAAUCAAUUAGUGAACCUCAAAAGGUAUCGAAUUCAAAUCUAGCUUGACUAAGAUUCUUGGGAUCCAAGUCGGCCAAGAAGAAAUGCCAAUUGUCUACCCUGAUCCGUGGCUUGGAUAAAGUAUUCUUGUUGAUCGAACCCGAUGUGCCAACUUAAUCUAGUGUGUUGAAAUUGGCUCUGAAUACCAUGUAGUGAAGUUAAAAUGGGAACAAGUAUACACAAUCUCAAGGGAAGCGGCAUAGUUUGAAAUUCGAAUCCAGAUCAUCUGCAAGUCAAUAUGAUAUGGGGUAAAGAAAAUGUGCUAGAAGUGGGUUGAGAGUUAGAAUUUUUAAACUAGCCUUUGAGUUCAGAAUAAUAUCAUGAGUUGGGUUGAUUAUCCUACAAAAUCCUAUUUUGGCACGCAAUUAGUGUUGAAGAUUAUAUUUAGAUUUUGAGCCCGUCGACAAAAUAUAACCUAAAUUUAAGCGUGCGGAAACUCGUAUCGAACCGGAACACUCGGAGUGUUCAAAGCCUGAUUCAAAGACAUCCUUAUUCGAAUGGAAGACUUCCCAUUUCGGAUAGUUCAGGGUUUAUGCAGUGACCACCCGAAUUUGCAAGAGAAGUGCAACUUGGACUAGAGCCAACAAGCAAAAUGCUGAAAUUCUAUUCAUCACUAGCCCACCAGAGCAGAUGAUUAGAAAUCGCCCUCCACGCAUGCGACUCACAAUUUACCAUUUUACCGCAUCGACACGUUUCAUGGCAACAUCUCACUAAACCUCCCAAAAACAUAAAGAUAACCGAGGGACAAAUCGCCCACUAGAAGAUCGUUGAAAAAUACACAACAGGCCCAAAGCAUAAGGCGGCACAACCGCUUUUAUUCGUUUGUCUAUCCACAAGGACCAGCCAAUGUCCCGGAUAAAGAUCCGAAACCACAUAACUAUAAGCACAACAACCAAGUGCCAUAUAAGCCAAGUCAGGGCAAAUUGAUAAUUCAAGCUGAGAAGCCACAUAUUACAGACCAAGUCAUAUAUUUGGGUGUUUAUAUCUCAUGAAAGCCCAACAGGAGAAGACACAUUAUGCUGCGGCAUUGACAGCAUGAUCAUUGCGUUCCUUCUGCACAAAAGCUUCAACGUACUGUUUCCUGCAAGGAAGAAUUGAUUCUCUUAAGACUCAGGAGCAACAUGGUGUAUGUGAAACAUCAGAGAAACUGGAGAUGUAAGCGACUAGAAGGAAAGGACGGAUCAAUACCUCGCUGGUAAAUGGUCAUGGGGACGAUUGAAUGGGGUCCAAACUGGAUCACCAACAAACAGUCGCAUAGCCUAUAUAAAAGAUCACUUAGCAGAGAGUGAACAAAAAUUCUUUCUGCUGAUUAGAAAAUUCAUUCUUCCAUUGAUUAUAAAACAGCUGCAACAAGUUUAGAAGGCCCAAAUCUAGUUCUCUCAUUCUCUUCGUGUGUGCGUGUGUGUGUGUGUGUGUUUUGUGUCCUCCAUGUGUGCUGGAUCAAAGAAGUGAAGUAUGCAUGUAUUGUAAAUACCUUGAUGUAAUUAUUCGAAUCGAGGGUAAAGCGAUGGUACAUUCCAGCUGGUAAAACAAUCAUUCCACCUUUCUUUACCCACACACGAAUCCAACCAUCAUUCUUGUCCCUAACAUCAAAAUAACCUAGACGACAAGACAAAGUUUAGAGAAUUCAAUGGAAAGCAGAAUAUAGAAAGCUGAGAGAAGAAAAUCAGGGACUUACCACUUCCAGCCACAGCGUAACGAAUCUCCUCAUCAGUGUGGAGAUGCUCCUCAAAGAAGUUCUUGAUCUUCUCUUCAUAAUUUGGCAGCUUCUCUGGGGAAACUUCGCAGAAAUCCUGGGCAAAAAUAAAAGAAGUUUCAUGUCAUCAAACUUAGCAAACAAGCUUGACAUUGCAAGUGUCCAGCAGAUUAAAAGGGACCAAGGUCCUCGGGGGGAUCAUCACAUUAGGCAGAAAAAAGACAUAAGUCUUUUCAAAACGUGUGAGCAUCAUUCCUUAACAAUGCAAGUACAUUAUCUGAUUAAUUUUCAAACUCGAUCAUGAUCCAGGUCUAGUUCCACAACAUGGACAAACACGAAUGUUAAUAUUAUCCUGAAGCAACUACAAACUACCAAGACCAGUGAAAAUGCGUUAUAAUAUUAUGAAGUUACAUACCAUGUACGAGUAUCCACGUUCCUCACGGAUUUUCUUCAAUUCCUCAUCAGUUUCAUAGUUGUCAGCAUCCAAUCGCCAGCUGAGAACACCAAGUUCUGCAAGAACAUGAUAGCUCCUAAUGAAUUGGAAAACGGAAUUAUUUUAUUGUAUCUUAAAAGAGUGCUUCCUCAGAAUGCAUACCUUCAAGCUGCUUCAAGGAAAUAAAUUCCUUAGGUUCACGGUGAUGUGGAAGUCUUUGGUCUUCAUUGCUGUCAUCCAUAUACCAUGCUUGAAGGACUUCCUCUCUCGGAUCCUACCCAGCCCAAAGUUUGAAAGCAUCACCCCAAAUGCAGGACAGGCAUUGAAGGAUCCACAGUAUAUCACAAGAUUCACGACAUAAAUUUAACCACCCUCUUCCAUGCUCAAGGAAGGAUGAGAAUGCUUCUAUCCAAAAAUUGUUUUCUUACCUAGGUUUUAUGGGUGGAAAAGACUUUUAUAGUUUCCUAGUUCUCAUGCUUAGAUCAUGACCACUGAUACAGAAUCAUCAUUUAAAUAAUGCUGGGCUAUCAAAACAAUUUAUUAGAUACUCUAAAUUAACCGAAAUACAAGCUAAUCAAUACCAAGUAUAGCGAAUUGAUCUUCAGAAUACGCAAACCAGUGCAUGCCCUUAGGUGCAGAUGCAUACGUGACACAGACAAUCAACAUGCCGUGAAAACCCAAGAACAAGUUCACAAAGUGAAACAAAUACAUCUUUAAGAACAAUAAAGAGAAAGAAGUACCCUAUAUUCUACAUUGACUAUAAGGACCUAAAACAGAUACAUCUUUAAAAUUAUGUAAGACAAACAAGUAUCCUAUAUUCUGCAUUGACUAUAAGGACCUCAAAGUGGACUGCAAUAUAAUAAUUCUCUCCUAGUACAAUUAUGCCUCUGUCCACAGUACAAGCUCUAACUUUGGCACCAUAUAAAGAGGCAAUGACAUCCGCCAGAAAAGUGGCAAUCAGAUCUUAAGUCAACUAGACCUCCACACCUUCUUUCUACCACAUUAAUGGUUUCUUUUUUACUCAACUUGCUACAUUAUCUAAGGUAAUGGCUGCACUUUUUCCAGCCCGUUACCAAGACUCAACCUUCAUGUCCCUUGAAGAGGACAGCUUCUCGCUAACCCACUCGACAUCCUCAACAAACACUUGUUUCAAAAGUUUUAAGUUGUCAGAGCAUGUGCAAAACAAUCCAUCCCAACAAUUUUUGCCUGUGGAUCUCAUUACCCAUCCAAUACACCAUGGCCAUAGGGUGGCGUGACAUCCACGUGAAUCCAAGAUGGAAGGACAUCAAGCCAAACUAGUUCAAUUAGGAGCAAGUAAGCCCUCAAGCCGGCCCCUUCAUAUAAUCCAUACUGGAAACUUUUCUUCUUUCAAGACUUCUCUUCAGGAUGCUGCUCAAUUCUUCCUUCGCACCUCCCACAGAGAUCAUAUCCGUUCAAGGGUUCAAGUCCCCCGUUCCAAGAAUCCCAAAACCACGGCAAACAAAUCCUAACUAGGCUAAAAAAAUCAUGGGUUUCCACCGUAACAACAGCUUACCCAAAACCCAGAAGCCUAGCAGCAUCGACAAACGCAAAAAACAGAGUCACCUCUGAAAAACCCCCCAAUAAAACAAAACUGGGCUACCUAAUAUCGCACGAAUUCAGACCUUCCCUCCUCUCCUGACCGAUAGAGGCCUAAAGAAAAGCAAUCCAUAAGACAAGAACGCAGAGUGGAAGCCAAUUACCUUGUCGGGGAGGACCAUUUUCGUCGAUAUCGCAGGCGGGGCAAUCGGUAGCUUUCCAGGCGACAAGAAAAAGCGAGGAGCGGAAGAGCAAGUUGCGCGUUUUAUAAUGCCAAAAAAGAUUCUUAAAACUCUUUUUUUAGGUAAUAAAAUUAAGAGGGUCAAACGGUGGAAAGGGAGAGAAUAUCUGACCUGGGAUUUUUUUUGUCCCUGGUAGAAAACUCCAGAGAAAAACAAUGCUUUUUGUGUCCAGAUUCAUUGAACGGUAGAGGAGCGAUGGCGGGUCAGCUCACGGCAUGCCGAUUUUCAGGACAAAGUUCACACCAGACAGGGAUGACAACGUGAUUUGGGUGACAAACAUGAGUUUUUUGUACAGGCUCAUGCGACCUUUCGAGCGAUGGCGAGGCCAGCCCACGGAUUGCCGGCCAGGUAGUAGAGUUUAUCGAGUUACUAUUCCUGCUAUUUCGAUUUCUUAGUUGACGGAUUCAGCAAAAUUUAAAUUGGAAAACGCAAAAAGGUUAAAGCUUGCAAAUCUCAUCUAUCUAAAAAAAAUUGAGAACGACAUUUAGAUUGUUAUAAGUAUGAUUAUUUAUAGAUAAAUUACGACGGUACCUAUAGAUAUUCUUAUCAAACCACUUGUUCUUAAAAUAGCGAGAAUAUAAAACUAGUAUAACUCUAAAUGAGGUUUGUACUUCUUUUGUUAGAGAGAUUAGAAAGUUUUGAAAAAAUAAAUAUUUAAGUGGAACUAUUGUAACAUUUAUAAAGAUAAAAAAAAUUAACAAAAGGGUAAAAAUAAAUGAAGUUUUAUUUAUUUAUUUAGGAAAUGGAUUGAAAUUAAGGGAUAUUCUAAAAUAUGGGGAUGGUGUGAUUAUGAAAACUUCUAAAUAGUACCAAGUGAAGAAUGACUAGUUUAAUUUUGUUAUUCAAAGUUGAGUCCAUAGAUCACAUUCAACGGCAUUGAACAUAUUUUCAUAUAGUCCAAGAGGUAAAGUGAACAUAUACCACAUUAAACAAUUUAAAAGUUUAGGAACAACAUUGUCUGAACAUUAAAAGUUUAAAAACUAUGUUGGACAUUGUGUCAUUUUUCUAUUAUUAAAUACUCAAAGCUUAACGUACAGACGACGAUUCUGAUUCCUCGAAAAGCUACUUGCAUGUCAUAGCCAUUUGCCUUUUUCAUGCCCCCAUUUAAAAAAGAAAAAGAAAAAAUAGUUGCGUAUCCUAAUUGCUAAUUUCUUUGUAAGACCUACCUUAUUCUUAAAUGAUUAUCGAUUUUUCGCCUUGGGUUUUUUCAGUUAAAAGAAACUCUUCUUUCCGUUUCUUAAUUUCUCCUAUUUUUAUCACUUUUUUUUUUGGCUCAACCUCGACUAGGGAAAGCUCAGUUGAGCGAGGUAUAUUUUGUUCUAGCAAGCCACCCAUGCCAUGGCGGCUCGUGAAUCUGAGGCCCACUCUUUUUUUUUCCAAUGAUAAUCGAUCGCAUUAGUCAUGUUGUGCGACCGCCCGACAUAGAUCGGGCCCCCCCGCGCAUCUAGUGAAUGUAGAGGACGGUAAGUAGAUUGGGUUAUGCUCAUUAAUACGCCUCCGACAGACCUACAUCCUCGUACAUUAGAAGUGUCGCUAGCAGGUGUUGACCGUCAGACUUAGCAAACGAGCUUGACAUUGGAAGUGUAGAGCAGCUUAAGAGGGACCAACGUCGUCAGUGGGAUUAUUAGGCAGAAAAUAGACAUCAGUCAUUUUAGGACAUGUAAACAAUGCAAGUGCAUUGUCUGAUUAAUUUUCAAACAAGAUCAUUCACCAAAGGAUAAGUUAAACAAGCAAUGGAACAUAUGAUCAUGACCCAGGUCUAGUUCCACAACAUGGGCAAACACGAAAAGAAUGUGUAUAUAUAUGUUUGUAUGUAUAUUAUCCUGGAGCAAGCUGAUGAUUAUGCGGCAUAAUAUUCUGAAUUGAAUUAGAUGAAUCGCCACAUACCAUAUAGGAGAAUCCACCCUCCACACAGAUUUUCUUCAAUUCUUCAUCAUCUAUUUCAUAGUUGUCAGAAUCCCAUAGAAAACUGAAGUAGCGAAAUUCUGCAAGAACAUGAUAGCCCCUAAUGAAUUGGGAAAACAGAAUUAUUUCAUUGUGUCUCACAAUAGUGCUUCCUCAGAAUGCAUACCUUCAAGCUGCUGCUCCAACUCCAAGGAAACAAAUUCCUCAGAUUCACGGUGAUGCGGAAGUCUUUGGUCUUCAUUGCCGUCAUCCAUAUAACAUGCUUGAAUGAAUUCCUCUCCAGGAUCCUAACCAGCACAAAGUUUGAAAGCAUUACCCCAAAUGCAGAAGAGGCAUUAAAGGACCCACGAUAUAUCACAAGAUUCACGACACAAAUUUGACCACCCUCCUCCAUCCUCAAGGAACGACGCUAACGGUUCUAUCCGAAAAUUGUUUUCCUGCCUAAAUUUUAUUGGUGGAUAAGGCUUUUAUAGUUUCCUUGUUCUCAUGCUUAGAUCGUGACCACUAAUACAGAAUCCAUCGUCAAAAUAACCCAUGGCUACCAAACCAAUUUAUCAGAUACUCUAAGGGGCUGCAUGUUUUUAUUUCUUUUUUCUGUUCAAGAACAAAAAUUUUGUUUUUUUUUCCCGGGAAUAAAAAAAGAACAGAAACGCGUUUGUUUGCAUUUUUGUUCAAAAUCAGUUUUUUUGUUCCCGAAACACAAAAAUAACAGAAAUGAGAAACAAAAAAAAAUUUGUUUCUUGCUCCAAAAACACUUCUCCAUAAACACUUUUUUCUUCUUUUCUUCUCUCUCCUCUUUUCUUCUUCUUUUCUUCUUUGGCCGGUCGCCGGCCUCAGCCAUGGCCGGCGACCGGCCGUCGAGGGUCAGUGACCUCGCCGGAUCGUCGCCGGCCCCCAGCGAGGCCGAGUGUCACCGACGCGAGCAAGGCUGCCGACCGAAAGAAGAAAAAAUAAAAAAGAAAUGAAAAAAGGAAAAAUAAAAUAAAAAUAUUUAAAAAGUAAAAGAAACAAAAAAAGAAUAUAAAUUUACCGAACGGGUUUCUAUUCAUUUUUUAUUCCCGGAACAAGUUUACCAAACGCAUCUUUCUGGUCAAAAACUGUUUCUCGGAACAGAAACGCUUUUUUUUAUUUCUGUUCCCUAGAACAAUUUUUGAACAGAAGUAUUACCAUUCGCGCCCUAAAUUAACUGAAAUACAUGCAAAUGAAUACCAUGUAUAGUGAAUUGAUCUUCAUAAUACGCAAACCGGUGCACGCUGUACUGUUGAAGAUUACAUUUACACCAACGGCGGACGUAAAGCUCGGUGGUUUGCCUCCUUCUGUUUACAAGCUUUGAACAUCUCUUCUGUUUCAAUCACGACUAGCCUCUUUACCUAAUCAUGUAAUAGAUUCUUCAAGUAAGCAAAUAACAUUGAUAAACAAAACUAAAAUGCAGUAACUGACUAAUCAUUACUUGUUGCAACAUUCCCCUAACGGUAGGGGUGUUCCACCUCAUAACAGUUCGGUUGCACUUGCCAAGCCGCAGCGCCUCCGAUGUAUGCCGGUGAAGUCUUCUUGUUCCAGGAAUGGCUCUAACCAAGGUUAUGUAUAAGUUGGGGCUGCAUGCAAUCGGCACGCAAGCCUUGUAAGCUUUGAAGGAAUUCAUGCUUUUCCUUUUCUCAGCAACAUUGAAGGGGACAUCAAAAUUAGUUUUUUCCAUGACAAACCCCAGACAACUAUGUUUGGACUACUAGAAUGAACACACAGCACACCCGCACAUACAAAAUAAACGAAGGGCGUGCAUGGUUGUGUUCUUUUUUUCUUUUUUUUUUCUGUUUAUGAACAAAUAUUAUGUUUUUUUGUUCCCAAAACAAAAAAAUAACAGAAACGCGUUUGUUUGCGUUUUUAUUCAAAAUCUGUUUUUUUGCUCCCGGAACAAAAUUGGAACAGAAAUUAAAAAAAAAAAAAGUUAUUUUUUUGUUCCAGAAACACUUUUGAAGAACAAGUUUUAUCUCUCCUUUCUUUUCUUCUCUUUUUUUUCUUCUUCUUUUCUUCUUCUUUUUUCUUUGGCCGGUCGCCGGCGACCUCGCCGAAGCAUCACCGGCCCUCGGCGAGGCCGAGCGUCACCGGCUCCUGGUGAGGCUCGGCCUCGCCUUGGCUGGGCGAGCUGAGGCCGACAAGCCUUGCUGUGGCUAGGUGAGGCUGCCAGCCCCCGUCGGCCGGUCGCCGGCCUCAGCAUGGAUAGUGACCGGCCAAAAGAAGAAAAAAAUAAAAAAUAAAAAAGAAAGAAAAAAAAUGAAAAAUAAAAUAAAAAUAUUAAAAAAUUAAAAGAACAUAAAUUUACCAAACGUGUUUCGGUUCUUUUUUUAUUCCCGGAACAAGUUUACCAAACGCAUUUUUCUUGUCAAAAAUUGUUCUCCGGAACAGAAAUAAUUUUUUCUAUUUCUGUUCCCUAAAAUAAUUUUUGCACAGAAACACAAACAAACGCAUCCAAAGAUGCUGCCAAAGAAAAGCAAAAUACUAUUACACAACUGGGCAAAUAAGAAAUAUCUCACCAAUCACUUACUCCUUGAUUUUUCACAAUGAUCAAUUAUAGAACAGAACUAAUAUACAUGAAUAAAAAAAAAAACUAGCAAAGUUUCAGAAGGAACCAGUUAGAUUUAUUUGCAAGAGACUAUGAGAAGCGACACCGUAAAACAUUUUUUAAUUAACAAUACAUUACUAGGCAAGGUCACAUUUAGACGGCAAUCUUUAAUCUAGUGAUUCAACCAUUUUAGAGUAACUUGAGAUGCUGCUUGAUCAGCUCGGUGAUUGAAUAUUCAAUGUCUCAUUCUAGCUUGGCAAAGAUUAAAGCAGGCAUAUGGAGCAAGAAGCCCAAAUGCUUUGCGUCUCUUCCUAUUUGAGAUGUGGGAUAAGAUAUACUCUCAAACAUUGUAUUAUGUUUGCUCAUUGUCCUUUUCUUGUUUCCGUCUCUCCUCAAGGAAAAAGUGCGAAUUUCCGGACACAAAACAACUAGAGUUAGUAAAAGUUCAAGCUCCUAUCUGAAAACCAUUCCACUUUUUUGUACGACUAGAAUCUUCCCUUCAAUGAGCUUUAAGGGGGAAAAUUGAAAGGAAAUAGAGACAAGGUUGAUCAGAAAAAUGUAGCAAGAGUAGCAAGCCCACGAUACUGGUUCCGGCCAUGGGAAAGCUACGCAAAAUCAUCCAUGAUGUUCGAAACGGAACCUUCAAACUGCGCCAUCACAAACCUAAGAACCCGAGGCUCUACAUUCCUCCUUUCUCCCCCCUCAAUUGGGCAGAAACACAACACCAAGGCUCUCAUAGGAAUAUGGUCGAACACCUUGCGGGCACGGGGAGCUCAACACAAAACAUUCACCACCGACCCUCAUCCCCCCAACUGGAAUUGCACAAGAACUACAUCCUAAGGCUCCGUUCGUUUCGCAGAAAAUAAUUUCUAGGAAAAUGUUUUCUGAACCUCCGAUGUUCGUUUCAUGGAAAAUAAAUUUCUUAGGAAAAUAUUUUUCAUGAAAGGAAAAAAGUCUUCUAAAUUAAAAUAUUCUAAAUUAAGAGAAAAUGUAUUCCACUUUUGAAGAGUGGAAAACAUUUUCCUCACUCGAUCUCUCUUAUCUCACACCUCUACAAAUCCUCACUUCUUCCUCCUCUUUCCUUUUCUUUUUUUCUUUUUUUGUUUGAAUUAUUUUUUAAAUUUAUUUUUCUUUUUUAAUUCAAAUUAUUUUUAAUUUCAUUUUUUUCUAUUUCAUUUUUUUUUUCUUUUCUUUGUUUCCCAUCUUCUUCUUUCUUAGCUAUUCAUCGGUCGUUGCCAAGAGAACCUCAAGCUCGUCAAUCUCAAGCCCGUGCUCUGCACUCUUGCUUAUCAUUUUUUUUAGGGAAAAAGCUACGAAAAAUCCUGAACUUUGCCCAAUAUGACACAUUUACCCCAAAAA
rnacentral:lncRNA from 1 species